GACAUUGGGGGCGUCCGGCCAAGUUCGGCUUCCUUAGCAGCGGGGAGCUUGGCCAGAGGUCUGCAGCUGCCGGGUUCUGGCCUCGGAGGUCGCGGGUUCUGCUAUCCCGAUUCGGUUGUGGCGGUCACGAUGUUUUUUUCUGAGGCUGGGGCCCGACCACGGACGUGGGAAGCCAGCCCCUCAGAACACAAGAAGUGGGUGAAAGUGUUUAAAGCAUGCGAUGAAGAUAACAAAGGCUAUCUAAGCAGAGAGGACUUUAAAGUGGCUGUUGUAAUGCUGUUUGGGUACAAGCCCACCAAGAUAGAAGCUGAUUCUGUGAUGUCUUCAGUAAAUCCAAACACUUCUGGCCUAUCACUUGAGGAGUUUUUAAGUAUUGUAAGAAAAAAGAAGGAAGUUCAACUCCAUCGGAACGAGAUAAGACACAUCUUCACAGCUUUUGACAGGCACUACCGUGGAUAUUUAACAUUGGAAGAUUUCAAGAAAGCAUUUAGGCAGGUGGCUCCCAAGUUAUCAGAACGGACCAUUCUGGAGGUAUUCAGGGAUAGCAAAUUGUUGGCAGGAGAGUCAGCAUCUUCUCCUGGACCCACGGCCUGUACUCAUCUGAGGGGCCUCAGAACUUUUGGCAUCACACCCUAAGCCAGUUCCUCAGCAUUGUCACACGCGAUCAGAUCAACUUGCUCUCUGUCAUCGUUGUACCAAAACUUUCCUUCUGCUCUGCAGGUGAAUGGGGAACUGAAGCCUUUCAUUUGACUUGUGAUCUUCUACAUUCUGGAAGCUCAUACAUGUAAUCGUGGAACAAAUAAAGCAGCUGGAGAAAAUCUUCCCUGAACAAAACCCAAGUGGGGCAUUUGGGUGAGAGCCAAGAUUCCAGCAGCUACAGAGGGAGAUGUGAAAAGGCUGCCUAUAUUACAGCACUAACAAAUCACUUCUAGCCCGAUAGGAAUGUCCUUUAAGUAAUGAUCAGAUAGAGGGUAGGGACCUUUACACAUUUAACUGCCUGACCACAAAAUAAAGUGUUUACUGUAACCUUCCAAGGUCUCUCCACCAAGUUAAUUACUGUGAUCCACCUGAAGGGACAGCAGCAUUGUGAGUGACUCAAUGGGCUCAGCGUAAAUGGAAAUUCUGAAGCUGCUUAGUCUGAGCCUGGCCUCCCACUAAACUGCUGCGGGGUGCUAGGCAAGACACUGUGCCUGUAACUUCCUGGGGUUCCGCUCCUCCAACCAAAAUUCAGAACUGUGACGCACAGUUAGCUACUAAACGAUAGCUGAUAAUAAUAAAUGAAGCCCUAUGUUAACUGUCUCAUUUGGAGGAGAAAGUUUAUUGUCCAAAGUGAUCCAAUAGUUAAGUAAAAUUUCACUGGACAUUUUGAAAAGGUUGGUUACUCAUUUUGUUUACGAACAUACAAAUGUGUGUGGACUGACAUCAACAAAAGCAAAAGCUUGGAAUGAAUGUAGGUCUUAAAGAAACGUAAAGGAGCAUUCCAGGUUCCUCACCAUCAGUUCAUUCAGCCAACAUUACCGAUUCCCUGGAGCAGUGCUUCUCAAACCUUAGGUGCGUAAGAGACACCUGGAGGGCUUUUUAAACAUCCUUCCUGGGGCCCAUCUUCGUAGUUUCUGCCUCAGUAGAUAGUGUGGUGGGGCCUGAAAAAUGUGCAUAUGUCACAAGCUCGCAAGGAAUAUUGACACUGCAGGUGUGCAAACCAUACUUUGGGUCUGGAGACACUCCAAACGCCCGAGUGAAGAAGACGCAGUCAUAUCCAUAAGGCAGAUAGGAUUAACAGGAAUACUUUGCAGUGUGAGUAGCUGCUUUGUAUUACUGGGUGUGCGUGCAUGUGUGUGUUUUAAAGGCAUCUCAGGGAAUGCAGGUCGUACAGAGGUACAGAGAACUGAAACCACAUGACGUGUUCAGGGACAUAGAGUUUGCGUCCCUGGAGCAAGGAGCUCAAGGCUGGCCAGUGGGUGACCGGGGAGAAGGGGGUGAAGGGGAAAGUGCAGCAAGAGGGAUGCCAAGAACUAGGUAAGGCUCUGAUCACAACACGUCUGUGUCCCAUAAGGAAUCUGGUUGUUUCUUUAACCUGGUAACAAAGGAAAUGAAAAAGACAAAAAUCUGAAGAAUCAGAAAAGAUUUCAAGGAGGAAGAGUUAACAAUAGCAUAGAAUUUGGCCAAAUAUAAUUUAGUCAACCCAAUAAUCUUGCUGAAAUCACACUGCCGUUGAAAGUGAACCUCUCUGGAGUCUGGUUUCUUCCAUUCUGGUGGUUUUUUGUCCACCAUGUGAUGAUUUCUGUGGUCUUAAAAGUUACCCAUUUUUCAUUAUUUUCCAAGCUCUUUUUCUAUCCAAUGAAUGGGCAGCCAGUCCAGAAUUGUUUACAGUAGUGAACAAUUGAAACACGAAGACAUUAACAAUAAAAAUAUCUUACAGAAAUAGGCUUUUUUUUUUAUUAUAGAAGCAAUGCAUGCUUACUAUAGAAACUAUAGACCAAAGGGGGGGAAAAAACCCUCACAUAAUCACACCUGUUAUUUAGAAAAUCACUGCUAAAACCCCUGGAGACUAAGUUCCCAGAUCCUUUUCUAUAUCCGUGUGCACUCUUUGCUAUUGAAAUAGGGUCAUACCAUAUGUUGUGAAAAACUAGCAAAAUGUGUUGAAGCAGUCUGCCAGUCGUUGGACGCGUACAAAAUUCCACCUUAAUUCUCGCUGUUUGACAUUUAGUUUGUUGAGUAUCCCCCGUGGCGGUUCCCUACUCAGAAAGAUGAGGAAGAGGAGUCAGCCAGGCAGAGAUGAUGGGGUGGACAGAAGGACAUUCCAGGCCCGAGCGGAGACCGGGAGGCGAGGAGGUGUUGGCCCCCGAGGAAUGGGAAGUUUCCUGUGUACCUGGAGCCCAGACAGGGAAGACCAAGAGGCCUGGAGGCUGCAGAGGCUGUGACCUUACCACCAACAGCCUCUGCUUGGACGUCCUGGACAAUAAUUGGCCAGAAGUAAGUCACUCAGGAAGAGAGUAGAACAGAGAAAAUGUGUGUAGCCGAUCGCUGAAUGGUAUUCUUUUUAGUCACGUCGUUUUAACACGUUGUUUUCACCAACGUCAUUCUGACUAAGUUGUUUCUGGCAAAUUGCUUUCAGUCAAACUAUCUUGAUCCAAAUGAACAGGAUUCGGGGCCUCGCUGGAACCAACGGUGUGCCAGAGCCGGCCCAUGCGGGCUCCCAUGCCAGUUCUGCCCAUCUUUGCUCAGCUCACAUUCAGUGACAUCGCCUUGGGAGCUGGAAAUCAGCAAGUGUUACAAAUCAGGGAAUUUUCUCCCAUGAACACCAGUUCCCCAGCACACGACAUAGCCGAGAGAGACGGGAAGAAGCCCAAAAUAAAGGUCUUGGGUUUUGGCCUGGGACUCGGACACUGAUGUGGUUUACCAGAGCGAGGAAGCAUUAACUUUGGAGUCAGAAGGGCCAGGGUUUGAAUCGUAACUGUCGUUUUCCGUCACUUCCAGCAGAGUAAUUAACUUCUCUAAACCUCAGUUGUUUCAUAUAUAUAUAUAUAUAUAUAUAUAUAUAUGAAAUAGGGUCACUAAUAUUUAACUUACAGAUCAGUUGUCAAAAUGUAUCCUUGAGAGACAGAAGCUAUUAUGAUGAUUACUGUAAUGAAGGAGGAGCAUGAGGGCAUUAAGUUGAUUUUGUAAUUUGAGUUGAAGUUUGAGUUCCUUUGGGAGUUUUGGGUAGAGAAUCCUGUAAUAACAACAAUCGCUAACGUUAUGGAGUGUUAAUUAUAUGCUUCUCCGUGCAUUAUUUAAUUUAAUCCCCAAGAGAACUCUAGAGGUGGAUACCAGCGAUAUAAUUACCCCAUUCUGUAGUUGAGGAGCCUGAGGUUUAAGUGAAGUCACUUUCUCAUGGCUGGAUGGCUGGUCAGUGCAGAGACAGGAGUUGGAAUGCAGGUUUACCUGAGUUCAGAGUCUGCCUUCUUAACCAGUGUGCAUAUGGGGUCUCCAGUCAGCGGAGACGUCUAAGGUCCACGGUAUCAGUUUCUGAAUCCUAUGAGUUGUGGAAGUCUUAGCUUUGAAUGCGGUCACACUGCAAGGGUCUCUAGAGUGAGAAGAAUGCGAUGCAGCCUGGAUAUGGAAAAGGGAAAUACCCUUUAGAAGAGGAAGCAGUGUCAGCAGUUGGACAUGCCAAUUAAAGAGGAUUCCUUGGAUUUGGUGAUAUGACCAACCUCAAGAAAAGCAGUUUGGAUAAGAUCAUGGAAACAGAGGCCAGCUUGCUUUUUGGGUUAAGGAGUGAAUUGAUGAGGAGGAAGUGGAGGGAACUGGUAUAAGACUAUUUUUGAAGACGAAGAUGCUAGAGAAGAAUUUGGAAUCUGGAGAGAUAUUUCAUAACGUAGAUGUGUUGGGAAGAAAUAAUACGUAGAAGUGGAGGCAGAGGAAUAUGACCGAAGGAGCCAAGUCCCUUAAGAGGCGGGUGGAAUGGGAUCCAAAACCUGUCUGAGGAACUAUGACUGGAUCAGUACUGGGUUUGGGCUUUAUAGGUUGGGUGGGCUAGAAGAAGGAGCAGGUGGAGGGUUGAGGAUAAUGGUCCAUAUAACUAACGGCAUGGCACCAUAGACUCUAGGCCAACUAGAGAAAAAGUAAAACCAGACAGGUACUUGAAGACUAAGAGAAUGUAGAAUGGUCAGGGUCCUAGGAGACUCAAAAGAUGCUGAAAGAACUUGAGAAUCAAAGAGCAAUAGAGCUGUAGGAGUGGGGAGCUGUAUACAGUGGAUUGGAUCUUGACACUGGAUAGUUCAUACGUAGAGAAGUUCUAUGUCAUCGACAAGGCCCCUGGUCCAGCGUGGAAGGCCAGUCUUUGAAGCAGAGUAGAGAUGAAGUUUAUCAAAAUUGGGGAGAUCAAGGGACUCUAGGCCUAGAGUUCUGACUGAGACCUGACACCGGCUGGUAUCCUCCCGACUCUUCACCCAACAAGACUGUAUCUUCUCAUAAUUCUUUGUUAGGAAUCCAGAUGUUUAUGCCUAGAGAUGUGCCUCCCAGUGAGGGUGUAAAUCCUGCUGAUGGAGAGCCGCGUGGCGUGUUCUUUAAUUGGUGCCCGAGAGAUCUGAUAGAAUCUUCUUUUUCUCAGGAUCCUCUCCCUGGGAUUGGUAGCAAAAGAAUAUAAAAGUCCUAGAUCUGUUUCUUCUCCUUCUAGGAGAUGCACAGCUUAUGCUUUCAGAAGAAUAAUGUGAAUAAUAAUAGCUGUCAUUUGUUAAGCACCUGCUACAUGCCAGCUACUAUGCUAAGCACCUUAUGUAGAUGGUAUCUUUACAGCCUUAGAACAACUCUCCGAGAUGAACACAGAUUAGAAAACUCCUUUGCCCAGGGUCACUCAGCCUAUAAAUGAUGGGGCCAAUAUUCAAACCCAGGUGGUCUGCCUCUACAACUCAAGACCCUCACUAUGCAAAACUGCCUCUCGAUGUCUCGGAGACCCAGGUCAGCCUCAUGUAGGACAUCAGUAUAUUCCUGUUUAUGAAGGAAUGGGAAACUAGCCACCCUUGAGAUCCCUUGUCCUUGUCCCAUAGACACACCAUUGGACUAGGGCUCCUGACUGGCCUCUAUCUCUCCAUCUUCAGCCUGCUUCUCCAUGGAAUACACCUCACAUGCCUUUGAGCAACCAUCACCCCAUAAAUCUCUGCUUUCCUACAACAGUGCCCCUCGCUGACAGGGGCAGAGAGAGAUAUCUUCCCAAAGCCCCUUGAGGUUAAGCCUCUGGGCUCAUUUUGAAGAGAGCUGAGCAAUGACAUGAAAGGCAUUUCAUUCUAUCACUGACUCUUAGAAAUAUUGGAGGUUUGUUUCACACAGAUACAUUACUGUGAUAGAGCUUGGCUGUUCAAAGUACAAGGAAGCCUUAGUUCAAGAAUGCUCAGAAAAGGAAUAUAAGAGGUAUGCCAAGAGAAGAAAGCAUUUCUUUUGUAAUGAUAAAAAAUGAUUUGUUCAAUGGGACAGACCUCCUGGAAAAUCAUAUUAAUUUGCUUCUAAA